CAGCCGCCGCGGGAAUACGUAGGGUGCGAGCGUUAAUCGGAAUUACUGGGCGUAAAGCGGGCGCAGACGGUUACUUAAGCAGGAUGUGAAAUCCCCGGGCUCAACCUGGGAACUGCGUUCUGAACUGGGUGACUAGAGUGUGUCAGAGGGAGGUAGAAUUCCACGUGUAGCAGUGAAAUGCGUAGAGAUGUGGAGGAAUACCGAUGGCGAAGGCAGCCUCCUGGGAUAACACUGACGUUCAUGCCCGAAAGCGUGGGUAGCAAACAGGAUUAGAUACCCCUGUAGUCCCUGUCUCUUAUAC
rnacentral:rRNA from 1 species